AGUGAACGCUGGCGGUAGACCUAACACAUGCAAGUCGAACGGCAGCACAGUAAGAGCUUGCUCUUACGGGUGGCGAGUGGCGGACGGGUGAGGAAUACAUCGGAAUCUACUUUUUCGUGGGGGAUAACGUAGGGAAACUUACGCUAAUACCGCAUACGACCUACGGGUGAAAGCAGGGGAUCUUCGGACCUUGCGCGAUUGAAUGAGCCGAUGUCGGAUUAGCUAGUUGGCGGGGUAAAGGCCCACCAAGGCGACGAUCCGUAGCUGGUCUGAGAGGAUGAUCAGCCACACUGGAACUGAGACACGGUCCAGACUCCUAUGGGAGGCAGCAGUGGGGAAUAUUGGACAAUGGGCGCAAGCCUGAUCCAGCCAUACCGCGUGGGUGAAGAAGGCCUUCGGGUUGUAAAGCCCUUUUGUUGGGAAAGAAAAGCAGCAGGUUAAUACCCCGCUGUUCUGACGGUACCCAAAGAAUAAGCACCGGCUAACUUCGUG
rnacentral:rRNA from 1 species